UUAAGCGUUUGGUAGGGAGCUCCACGCUUCAUUCCUCCCUUGAACCUGUAUCUUUUGCGUUUUAAAUCUUGUGUGAAUGGAUUAACCCGAUACCGCGUCAUUCGUCACAAGCGUGCAGCGAGUCAGUCGGUCAAUCAGUCGGCCAAAAAGCGUGCUAGCCGCGUAGCGCACAGAAAAAGUUGGUGUGCACUUUUAAGUGUGAAUUCAAACAUUUUGAUUAGGAAACCAAUCCCUGACUACUGCCAUAGGAGGCAAGGACGUCGGUCUGGUGUCGAUCGAAGCCGUCGAUAUUGUUCCAGUCGAAUAAACGUCGUCUUAGCUGCUGAUUUUCCGGUGCGGAAUUCGCAUUUCUGUGCCAAUGGAAUACGAACGCGAGACAUUUAAAUAUUAGGCUUAGCAUUUUUAUAUUUAUUUCUAUUUAAAAUAAAAAUUACAAAAAUGUUUCGAGCCAUCAU